AACGAACGCUGGCGGCAUGCCUAACACAUGCAAGUCGAACGAGACCUUCGUGUCUAGUUGCGCACGGGGGCGUAACGCGGGGGAACCUGCCCUUAGGUUCGGAAUAACUCCCCGAAAGGGGUGCUAAUACCGGAGAAUGUCUUCGGACCAAAGAUUUAUCGCCUUUGGGUGGGCCCGUGUUGGAUUAGCUAGUUGGUAGGGUAAAAGCCUACCAAGGAGACGAUGCAUAGCUGGUCUGAGAGGAUGAUAAGCCACACUGGGAAUGAGACACGGCCCAGACCCCUAGGGGACGCAGCAGUGUGGAAUAUUGGACACUGGGCGAAAGUCUGAUACAGCAAUGCCGCGUGAGUGAUGCAGGCCUUAGGGUUGUACAGCUCUUUUAGACGGGACGAUAAUGACAGUACCGGGAGAAUAAGCACCGGCUAACUCCGUG
rnacentral:rRNA from 1 species